ACGGGAAGCUUUGCUGGGGGUAUUGUUACUAGUAGGUAUGUUGCCCAUAGUAACCAUGGAAAUGUUUAGGGUGAGCUGAAGUAGUCUAAUGGUAAGUAAUAGGGUGAAAGCAAGCAGAAGGAAAUUUAUGCUGAUUCUUAGGGAAAAAUAAACUCAUGUUGCAUCCUGUUAUAUUACCUAAAAGGUCACGAGGGAACAGCAAGGUGCUUGGAGUCAUUUUAGACUGGUUUGGAUGAAGACAUUUGAGGUUCUCUUGUAGGAAGCUGUUUUCGCAGGAAGAGGGACUCUUUUGAUCCUAGAUUAAUCUCAAUGUUAAUCGCAAAUGUUACAAUUUCAUGGGCCUUGCUGAGCACUAGCAACUUUCUCAGUUUGAGUAUCUCAGUGGCUGGCAUGUACCUUUUGAAAUCAACACUGGAAAUCCCUAUUCACUUGUGUUAAUAGCACUCCUUGGAAAAUAUUAACUGAACCAGGAGACAUUUCAGAGACUGAGCCACUAUCAUGCUGUCCUAGCAAGUAUAUAAAUUAAUUAGAUCUUUCUUAAGCAGAGGCCUGUAUGUGGAGCUAAAGCAGCCAAUUUUCUCCUAACUUACGGUAAGUGAAGGAGAGGAAAUAAUUUAGUCAGAAACCAGAGUCUGAAAAAGAAGUUAUUUGGUUAGAAAUAAUUCAGUAGACAUUCAACUCUUUAUUGAGUGUUUGUAUUCCAUUUCAAAGAGGCUGUACAAAAAGGGAGUACAAGAAAUGAGUGAAUGGAAAAAUAAAGUGAAAUUCAGAUAUGGUGUUGUAAGGGAAUGUGAGUAAAUACAAAUGCAUUGAAAGCUGGUAGAAUGAGGUGAGGCAAAAUGUUAAUAUUGAUAUACUGCAUUUACCCUACAUGGGCUACUUAUUGGUUCCAGUAAGCUGCUUCUUCCACCUCUGUUACGCUCAAUUUGAUUUUGCUUAUUCACAUUUGCUUUCUUGCUAUCCCUUUUUUGUAGGGAUACAUUUUAAAAUGAGACACUGGUUUGCUUGUGACUCUUGCUCUGCUAAAUAGAUGAGGAUUUGCAAAACCAUAUAUUUUCCUACUCCUUUAUAUCGUUACACAGGCUGAAGAAGUAUUUUCUAAUUUCAAUUUCAAUUAUUUUUAGGCUAAAGCAGUGACUGAACACAGAUUAUCUCCUCCUGGUCCUCCCACAGGCAGUGUAUCAGUGGCAAAAAGAGAAUGCUCUAAAUUCCUUUAUUGUAUAAUGAUCUUGGUGUCCAUUAUAACAAAGAGCUUCCUUCAGAUGAACCCAUGCAAGUCACUAACACAGAAGUUUCCAUCUAUGAAUCUUUGAGACUCACAGGAAAGUUCCUCCUCUCUCAGGCACACCUCAUCUCAGUACAGUGCAUCCAUGUUGUUGCAUUUACCAGUGUUGAUAUUUUACUGGUUUUAAGGGUUAACCACACUGGCAGCUUCUUGUAGAUUCUACAACAGCAGAAUAUGAAGGAGAGGAACUGCACAAACCCUCCCAUGUCUCUUUAAUAUGGAUGUUUCCUAUAACUUCGGAGUAGCAUUAACCUCCAGUCUGCUUAUCAUGAAGAAAACAUGAUGACUUCUUAAAGCCCAGAUACCAAUGUCUCUGCUUCUGGAGUUCACUGGUGCUCAAGAUGAUGGGAAUUCAUUCCUGUGCAAAUCCAGUAAUGUUGCUUCAAAGCCAUAUCCAGAGUCACAGCUUCAGCAGGACAGCUUCAGCACCACCGUGGCACCCAGGGAUCAUCAGGGUGGGUUAAUGCAGAUGCUGACAGCUCAGACCUCAGCGUGAACUCACUCAAUCACCUUCUCAGAGUAUCUUGUUAUAAAUCAGAACGCGCUCAGAACAGCUUAAUCUCCAGAAAAGAAACCCAGAAGCUACCCAGGAGCAAACCCAUGAAAACUCUACUGGCCUGCUUGAAGUGUCACAUUUCUAAAGCUGGGAGGAACACGGGGACAGAUGCUGAUCAAGCAGGAGCUCCAUCCUAGGCUUCAACUGGAUCAUCACUGCUACAGAUUUCCUUUUUCUUUCUCAAGACAGAUGUCUCGGAAAAACAGAAAACAAGAAAUUGGAGCUACAUUCCCCAUGCUGGACUCCUGUUCCAAAUGUAAUUUUUGCUCAUGCUGCUUGGUGUUACCGAAAUCUCGGAAUGAAGAACUUAUCAACACCAAUGUGAUGCAGAUAAGCAGACACUUCUUUAUUGACGGCUGGGUGCGUGCGUGAGUCCUCUCAUGAUCAACGCACACCAAGUUUCAAAAUCAGACACCAUAUAUAGAAUUUAUUCAUACAUAUUCAUUAAGUAUUCAUGCAUAAACAUAAUAUUUCCCGAAAAUCAUUAACAUAUUCUCCUCCCAUAUCCGAUUCUGCGCAGUAAAGGUUAGAAAGGUCCAGAAAUGGGUCUGGGGUACGUUUUGGGUAGGUGGUAUAUGAGUCGGUGGUCGCGAUCUCCCCCUGCCGGAAUUACCAUGAACUAAAGUUCACGGUUUCUUGGCAGUUCCAGUCGACUCUCCCCAGUUCCCAUUAAUCCUAUAUUCUGACAUUUCAAUACACUUUCUACAUACAGAAGUCUAGUCAAAUACAAAGAAACCUUUCAAACCCUAAAUUUAUUACCUAAGUUUUAAACAAUGAUUCUAGCCCAUUCUUCUGGCCUUGGUAUGCGACUGUACAAAGGAUUUCAUAACAGCUUUUACUGUGCAACUGUAAGUUUCAUUAAAAUAUAUUUCUUAUCCCUCUAUAUUUCUAUUAAAAAUGAUUUUAUAAAAUCAAAUUAAGUCAAUCAAUCUUAUUAGCAAAUCUGUAACAUAGGUAUGGUGUUCCAUCUUCCCUCGUUGUUCCUCCAUGUCUUUAAAAUUCUUCUUUCAUUUUAUUUAUUAAGAGAAGUUAUCAUCAAAAAGCUAUAAAAAACCCCACAAAACAAACAGCCUAUUAUCUUCUAAUUAUUGAAGUUUUAGUCUUUUUCAAAUGUCUUUUAAUACCUCAAAACAAUAACAUGCUAUAGUUAUUAGUAGUUGUCCAUUACUUAAUAAAGACAAAGUCUACCUCAGUUGUCGCUCUUCACAUCCUCCCUAGGUCUCGCUUUUCUCUCUAGAGCCAGACAUGCUCACUGAGCAAUUUGCUCAGGAGAAGAGAAAUAAUCACUAAGCAGAUAUUAUAGUGAUUGGGAAACUAUGGGUAUUUUUUACUAAUUUAUUUCGUUAGCUGGCAUGGGCAUCUCAAUACAUGUUUCAUCUUGUUAUAUUCUAUGGUCAGACUUCAAAAAGUUCGAUCUGGCCAUUAACUGUUUAAGUUUGUUUAAUUCAAAAAUAUCCUUUUUCUGGGUCCAGUUAGUCUGGAAAUUUUCUUCCCAAGGUUU